AAUUCAGUGUAAAAAAUUUUAAAAGCCUUUGACACCUUGUACUUUGUUCCUCAAUAAUGAACUUAUAACUCACUAUAGGACUUUAAGAUUAGCAAAGGGCUUUAUUUCCUAUGAAGGAGGUAAUGACAUUUAUUUAGUGAUUUAACAUUUGCAAAGCACUUUACAAAUAUGAUCUCAUUUUAUCCUUAUCACAAUCCUGGAAGAAGGUACUAUUAUGAUUCCCAUUUACAGAUGAAAGAACUGAGACAGAUAGAAGUUGUCACUUGUUUAGGGAUCACAGCUGGUAAACAUCUGAGGCUAUAUUAGAAUUCAGGUCUUUGACUCUAUAAAUUACACCAAUUAGCUGUUUUGUAAUACAGAUAUCCCCAUUUUAUUUCAUGGUAUAAAACCUGGAACAUAGUGCUAUAAAAAUACUCUGUUCAUUCAUCUAUCCAUCUGUCUAUCUAUCUAUCUACCUACUUAUCCAUCGAAUGCUCUAUCCAUUUAUCCAUCCAUCCAUCUAUGGAAACAGAUAUCUUUUUUGCCUCACACUGGUUUCUCUUGUUUGGAUAAUGAGGGCAAAUUCUUUUGAGUUGAUUAUGGGCCUCAUUUGGGAGGUUCUGAUGUCCUGGGACUUAAUUACGAACACAAUACAGCUUAAUUAAAAAAAAAAACAACCUAAGAACAUCUAAAGGACCUCCCCUUCAAAAUUGAAUCCUUCUUCCAUUUGCAGUCUGGGGUGGACUGUCCUCCAUGACUAUAGUUGCAGCUUCCACCACUUAAUGACUUCUAAUUAAGCAUCAGAAGAUCAUCUGACAAAAUGAUGUCUGCUGAUAUAUUUUUCAAGGAAGCUUGUAUAAUUGUAUUAUUGUCAUGGGAGCUGAAUUGAUGGAGAAGUGUUUUUAAGGUGCCCCAUUUCUCACAUCAGAAGCUUUUUUAUAGUUGUCUUCCUUAUAACUUCCAGUCAGUUGUAUUAAAGAGGAACAUUAACUUAGCUGUUGUUCCUCUAAAUGUGAUUUCCUUAUCCAGAGACCAACAAGCAGAUAUAUUGAUGGAGGAGCUGAAUUAUAUUCACCUUAUCUUGUUAUUCCCUCCAUAAAGAAAGCUGGUGGUAAAAAAAGGAAGUUGCAGUUAAAUAGAAGGCUGGUUCAGAGGUUCUUCUUGUAGAGGCAACUCAAGGCAAAUCUACAAAUUUUGUAGGUCUUCUACCUGAUGGUCAACUGCCUGAUGAGCUAAAAGCCUACUCAUGAAAUCAAAGCCCUCUUCUCCUGACAAAGCGUUAGAAGAUUAGUGUGGAUAUCAUUCCAAAUAGCAACAAUUAAUCACAGUUGAUGAGAUCCCAAAUCCCCUGAAGUAUGGAACUUUUAUAGCAAGGUCUUCAGUCUACAGAAACAUUACAAUGUCAUUUGAACCUAACCCUUUGAUCUCCAGCCACAAACUCAUCAUAACAGUGUCUUCAUGAAUGAAUACUCAAAAGAUAAGUACCCAGAACCAUCUCUCCAACUCUGUGCAGCUACAAUACAUAACCUCUGGAUCAAAAGGCAAAGUGAUGUUGAAAGGGUCUAAGCUAUCUCAUAAAUCACAAAGGCUAUAAUACUAUCAUUGUAUGAAUGGUUCUCCUGGUUCUGCUCACUUCACUCUGUAUCAAUUCAUAGAAGUCUUCCCUAGUUUCUCUGAAACCAUCCCCUCCAACAUUUCUUAUAGCACAAUAAUAUUCCAUUAUAUUUAUAAACUGUAAUUGUUUCAGCCACUAUUGCUGACUAUAUUACAGCCACUCACAUGCCCUAUUGAUGGGGCAUCCCCUUGGUUUCCAGUUCUUUGACAUUAUGAAAAAGAACUGCUAUAAAAUAUUAUGGAUAUAUAUUUUAUAAUAACUAAAUUAUAUAUAUAUAUAUAUACAUGUAGUUUUGAAGGGGAGGUCCUCUAGAUGUUUUUGCUUUUUAAUGCAAUUAUGCUUUGAAUUGAGCCCCAGAAAAUCAGAACCUUCCAGAUGAGACCCACAAUCAACUCAA